rfam:Pseudomonas fuscovaginae strain IRRI 6609 Pf_IRRI_6609_contig_21.21, whole genome shotgun sequence.
CGCUCCGUCCUAGGGGAGUAGUCUCCCACGAGCGCCACGCUCGUCCGGCAUGCGUCAACAUACUUGGUCCUCAGACCAUGGCGCAUGCGACCCACGGUUCGCACAGACGAGCCCGGGGUU